AUACGUAGGUGGCGAGCGUUGUCCGGAAUUACUGGGUGUAAAGGGCGCGUAGGCGGGGAUGCAAGUCAGGUGUGAAAGACCGGGGCUCAACCCUGGGGUUGCAUCUGAAACUGUAUUUCUUGAGUAUCGGAGAGGAAAGCGGAAUUCCCAGUGUAGCGGUGAAAUGCGUAGAGAUUGGGAGGAACACCAGUGGCGAAGGCGGCUUUCUGGACGGUAACUGACGCUGAGGCGCGAAAGCGUGGGGAGCGAACAGGAUUAGAUACCCUGGUAGUCCACGCCGUAAACGAUGGAUACUAGGUGUAGGGGGUAUCGACCCUUCCUGUGCCGGAGUUAACACAAUAAGUAUCCCACCUGGGGAGUACGGUCGCAAGACUGAA
rnacentral:rRNA from 1 species